GUUGGACGGUAAAUGAACAUUACAGCAGGCCCUUGGAAAAUUUUAACGGUGGGAGUUCAAUCAACACUGUUUCCUGUGGUGUGGCCCACCGUCUGCCUCAUUUUUGGGCUCAUUCCCAGAAAUGGAAUGCAAAAAUAGAUGGACGGAAUGGAUAAGACACAUACAUCGUGGUGGGGCCCACAUCACCCGUAUCGAGACGUUGGCGCUCAACACCAUCACAAAACCCUAAUUAUAAAGGCCGCGUCGUCUCACCUUCGACGGAGGAAAGAAGGGUUUUUGUAGAGAGGAAAGCAGCUGAAGAAGACCUCCAAACAUGCGAGCGAAGUGGAAGAAGAAGCGGAUGAGGCGUUUGAAGAGAAAGCGCCGAAAGAUGAGGCAGCGAUCCAAGUAGAUGAUACUUCAAUGCAAUACUAGCAUUAAUAUUAGCUGCAGUCACAAGAAUUAUAAUAAGAGUUCUGAUCUCAUUAGCGUUAAUGUUUUAUACAUUGGUUUUUUUUUUUUUUUUUUUGGAUUUUUCAUUUCUUGGGUUGAUUGAUUUGCAUACAUUGCCUUGGAUAAAAUUCUUAUUAGGCAAUAUGAUUUGGUUUUGUGCUUAGUUCUAGAAAUGGUUGUUGGUUUCUGUUUUAUGGUAAUUGAGGUAUUGUUUUGUUGUUUAAUUUAGUCUAGUGAAAGAGGAUUGUUCAUACAACUCUCUUUCCUGCGAAUGUAUGUUCACUCUUGUAGAACAACCGAGCUGUGCAAAAGGUGGGGCAUGCUUGGGAAAUCACUAUGAUGGUCCACUCAUUAGGCAUGCUACCCUGCUUCAUGGUCUAAGUCACUCUAUGGGUGACAGAUUAAUCAUUGUUUAUGAAAGUUCUCAUACAAUGUUGCAAUCAUCUCUUAGAGAAAUACGAAGGCAAUCCUCAAAGGGAGAGAUUUAAGGGUGAUCUGCAUGUUGCACACUUGUGCAGUGUGGGUUGUUCAUCGGGAAGUGUCCACUAUGAAAGUGUCUCAGCCCAAAAUUCAGGCCGUUCCACCCAUUGGGUGGACCAUGUGUGUAUCAGGUAUUCUGAUGGGGGCCCACACCUGAUGGAUGGGGACUAUGGUUGAUUGUGCUCAAGCACGCAUCACGUGGCAUACAUAUACCCAAUCCAAUACCCUCUGAACUGUGGAUGCAUUUGUGAACGAGGUACAGCCAAACUCUUGCCGAUUGGCAAUCCCAACCAUUCCACUGUUGGCAGCAAUCAAAUGGCAGUUGAAAAGGAAUAUAGGUAGGACUAAUUCAGUGGGAAAAUGCCCAUGAUGGGAUGGUUAGGAUUGUCUGAUAUCUUUCCUUUUCUUUCUAUGAUUCAUCUCCACUGGGGCCUGUGAUUGAUGGCUUGCAUCAUGGGCCUUUGUUUGGUGCAGACAUGCAUGAAGUAAGUCCUGGUUAUUUGGUAUUGACAUGCAUCUUGAUGGAUAAUGAAUUUUUCUUAUCACAAUAGUAAGGCCCAUUUGGGCAGAGGGGAUCUUGCAAAUCACAAUUUUCUAUCCUUUUUAUUACUUUUAAGGGUCUGUUUGGGCAGGAGAUCCUACAAAAUCAGGAUUAAGCAUAAUCCUGAUUUUGGUAGGCUCCAUGCCUUCGGCGUCAAAUUUUUUCACCAUAAAGUCGCACUUUCCGCCACAUAAGUGGAAUUACUGAGGUUAUAUUAAAAACUUGAAACACCACUAAUUGCAAUAUGGAGGGAAGCAUGGUUUUAAUGCAGUGAAUCUGACAUGGAGCACAUGGGGACUACUAUCGGGAUUAGAGUUGAUCCCGAUUAUGCAGGAUCCCCUACCCAAAAGGACCUUAAAUUUCAACUAAUUAUAAUUAAGUGAGGAUUCUCCACUUUUGUUGAUACAAUGCGACUUGGAGGAUAGGGGUCUUGCCUUGCAGGAUCCCUAUCCAAACAGCCCUUGUGUGAUUCCUCAUAAGUUUUCUUUAUAAGUUUAUAAUCCUAUUGUUGUGUUUCAGAAAUGAUACUUCUUUAAAUGUCUCGUCUUCUUUAAAUCUUAUUGUUGUGUUUCAGAAAUGAUACUUCUUUAAAUGUCUCUCUUCUUCUUUUCUGGUGAAGUUUCUGUGAACCCGUUAGCAGAUUUGUUGGCAAGAUGAGUUGCAAUAGAUGCUUUUGUGUGGGAAUGCCUGUCCAUUGCCUUAGGAUACUUUGUACUUCUCUUUUUUUCCUUGAAUGCAAUGUUGCAUUACUCAUAAUAGAAACUUUGGCUGGUUAAUUGAGUUAUUUUUGUAGCUUAUUGUGUAAUUGGUAUGAUGAUGUCAGAACAUUUUAUUCAUGGGAUUUGUUUUGAACGCAGACAAUCUAAAUAGGAUCGAUGUAUAAAUAAAACUAAGAAUCUGUUGUUUCUUUUUGUAUUUUCUAGUGCUUUUUUUUUUUUUUGCAUGGAAUACGGUUUUUAGUUUUAUUGUUGAAAUCCAACAUUUUUUUUAGUUUUUAUUGCCGUAACUUCCAACAUUCAUCCGAACGAUAUGACAUUCUGGUAAGGAUUACUGUAACUGACUUCAAUUAGUUGGGUGAAGAUGUAGAUGAUGAUGAUUUUAAGCAUGUGGUGUGAUAUGCUAAUGAGAUUAUGAAUCAGUUAGCAAAGGACGGGGGCCACUGGGUGCAUCCGUUACUAGUUGAAGACAAAAGGGCAGCUUGACGGGUUUUUAUUUCUUUUAUGUUUCCUUGUUUGUAUUGCUCUUGAGUUUUCUUUCUAGCUUUCUACUUUGCUAGCCUCUGUUUGUUUGUUUUCUUUCCUCGAUAAACUUUUGAUUACUAUUAAAAAAAGGCACUUCCAACAAUAUCAGAGGCCAAUUUGUACAGGGAAGUUUUGCGUUUGGUACCUAACGAGUACAUGAGAGGGCCCAUGGUAGUUCAUCCAAUCCAUUGAUCUGAUGUUCCCCAUCAUGGAUGAAACAUGCCCAAAAACUCUUUUAAUUUGGUAAACACUAACCUUUCCAAUGUUGGCAUGUGAAUAUACGGUUUAGAGGAAAUGCUCCAACAGUCCACUUUCAAGGAGAAAUGACAAAAGGUUUGAUGGUUAGGAACUUCCAGUUUGGGAGAGUUUUUGGGUCAUGGUUCAUCCAUGCAGGGGACAUCAGAUCAAUGACUUGGAUAAACCUAUUUUUGGCCCCACAUUUACAGAUCAGGUACCAAACAAGGCAGUUACCGGACAGGAAGCUUUGCCUCUAAAUAUAAUCCUAGCGAGGUCUUUUCUAGAGCUAAGGGUAAAGUCAUUUCUAGGGUAAGGAGGCUCAAUUUAUAUAAGAGGGAACACAUCAUGGGCAAUUCGAUUUCACGAUGUAAUUUUGUGGGCUCUGGGUUGGGGGGAUGAUUCCUUUAUAUCUCCUCUUGCUUGUGUAGGCUGUGUUAUCUUUCGUUUGACCACAACCACCCUCCGAACCUUUCAUCCGUAUCUCCUUAGUAGAACAACCUCACUAAAAACUUACUUUUGAGUACCCUCUUUGAAAACCUUUCAUCCUUAUCUCCUUAGGAAUGUAGAUUUGCUCUAAUAUGCUUAACUACUUGGAACUUGAUCUCAUCCUGUGAAAUUUUCCUAACUUAGGUUCUGUUACCAUCUCUUCUUCCACUUUUAUUUAACUCACUCCUUACAAAUUUACAUUUCACAGACAGUAUGAACACAUGAAAUCCGAUGGAAUUUAACCAGGCCACAGGUUAUCCAAAAACUGCAAAAGCUGUUCCUAGUACCUCUUGCACCGCAAACCUUAACUAACACUUUCGACACCAUACAUAUUUAAGCACCUAAACAUUCACAAACACUCCUAGCACUACCAUUUUCCCCCUUGAUGACCUAACACCUUGUGCACUCCAUUUCUUUUGUACGUCAUCAAAGCCAUCUCACCGAAGAGGGCUUGAUUUGUAUCCUUUAGCUUUUGAAUGCCUUUACCAUUCUCAUUAUCACCAAAAUAACCAACCCCCCAUGAUUUCCCAGCUGAAUCGUGUGAUCCGAUUUGCGGGUCAUCUGUGAUCCAGAUUGCUACUUCUAUGGAUCUGAAUUUUUGUUCUAUACUCUUAUCAUUGAUUGCACCGGUUAAGAGUGAGUUGGUUUAAGUUGAAGGCUCUAAACGGGAAAGGGGAAGGCCCAAAAGGAUGUCGGCGGAGGUGGUAAGAAAAUAUCUAAUGACCUAUGGUUUAAUUGAGGACAUGGUCCUAGAGAAGUAGAAUGGCGGAACAGGAUUCAUGUAGUAGUUGGGAUAAGGCUCAGAUGAUGAUGGCGACUCUUAAUUGUUAAUUAAGUUAUAAUGUAUAAUUAUAUUUAGAAAAUAAAUAUUUGUACUUUGAUUAAUUAAUGGCAUGGAUGUAAUAUAAUAUUAUGAUUUGGGGUCUAUGAUAAUUGCGUGCAUUAUUUCAUAUAUAGCUUAGUUAUCGAUUUGUAGAUAAAACCAUAUCAUUUAUAUGUAUUGGAUCGUUACACAUGGUCCUACCCGUAGUGUUCAACAUUAGGCCAUGCCAUGCAUUGGAGCAACUUGCUAUCAAGGUAAACUUGACAUCUUUUUUUUCUUGGCUGACAUGCACCUUUCAUCUCACCAACAUGGAGAUUAGAGUGUUCCAUUUUAAAGCUUUCGAUUAACCCCAACUAACAAGCCAUCCCAAUUAACUUGCCUGAUGCCUCUGACAUUAUGAUAGAUAGAUUAAAGGAGAAUGGAUUGCAUUGGUUAAGCUUCUCUUAUGCUUUGAAAACCUUAAGUGAGCCGUUCAUGAGUAUUUGAAACACUGCAUAAAGAGUUUAAUGCUUGCAUCCAUUACACCACAAUUACCUAAUCCCAUCGUACCAAGUCCUUGUUCUACCAUUCCUAUGCCAUUUACUGUUCUACAUAUCCCCUUGGCAAGUUAAUCUUGGCAUUUAUGAUUUUGAUACGAGUCCAUCCAAAACCCCUCCUAGAAUUUAUCUUAUGGUAAUCUUGGUAUUCGUGCUUUGAUGUAUUGCUUUUGCAACCCCAAGGAUAAAACUUCUCCAUGCAUUUUUAAUACAAUACUUGCCACACUUGUAGGCCAAAAAGCUCAUUAGAAUCUUGAUAAAACUUCUCCAUGCAUUUUUAAUACAAUACUUGCCACACUUGUAGGCCAAAAGCUCAUUAGAAUCUUCUUUCUUAUAGGAGCGAUAAAAGUCGCAAUCGCCUCUUUGCUCAUCUUGCCCUAUUGAAUACAAUCCCUGCCACCCUUAUAGGCCAAAAAUCUCAUUCUUAUAGGAGCGAUAAAUGUCACAAUCGUCUUUUUGCUCAUCUUGCCUUAUUGAAGAACUAUUUUAAAAUCUCCAUUGCCUUCUAACUUCCAAUAAAGCUUGGCAGAAUCCCUUAGGAUGGGGAGUGUGGUCCCCACCAAGAUAGAAGACCUACUGAAACUCAUUUUGCGUUGCUUGCGACUGCUAUUGCUGUUUGGGAAUUACUAGUAUUUAAAUCAUAGUUAUAGAAUUCAGUGACUGAACUUGAAACCUGGUCGUGUCAAUUCGACUCGAUAAGACCUUGAGCCUUCAUCGUGAAACUUCUGAGUGCGACUCGGACUUGACUUGGUGCAACUCGUCGAGUCAACUUGACGAUUUAAUCAACUCAAAGUGACUUGUCAUGAUUCGUACUGAGUACCCACCCAAGGUUUGGGCGAAUGGCUAGCAUCGCGGGUUUGCUUGCCACAAACGUGAGUUCGAUUCCCCUCCCCAUGCUUUACCUGAUGCACAUGGUUUGUGGGCGAUUGCGUGCAUCUACAAGGAUUAAUCUUGCCUUAAAAAGGGGUAGGGGCACUCUGUUGUCAUAAAAAAAAUGAUUCUUACCGAGUGAACUGUGUGGCAAACACAUCUUUAUAAAAAAAAAUAGAAGGGCUUGAUCUUGGAAUUGACACAUCAUAGUAGUGUCCAAUUGGUGUGAGAAGCAGGCAUGGUUCCCAUGCCAUUUUGGACGUGUGAGGGUAAAUAAGCUAAUUUGGGAGAAUAGAAUUCGUCUUGCCAUAGAGAAUAUAGGAGCAUUCACAGCUAAGAGUAUGGAGUUAUUAGAUACGACGAAAUAAAGGAUAAUUGACUUAGCUUGUGUUUAGGAGACCAAGUGGAAAGGGGACAAAAUUAGAGAAAAUAUAAGCCUUGGUUUAUGGGAAAGGGAAAUAAUAUGAAUGGGCUAGGGAUAGUGAUAGAUAAAGAUAUAAAGGAGAAAAUUGUAGAUGUUAAGAGAGAGCAAGUAUAAGAUUGUAUUAAUAAAACUCGUGUUAGGAGAAGCGGUAAUCAAUGUUAUUAGUGCAUAUAUGCCGCAGGUAGGGUUAGAGGAUGGAAUUAUUGAUAACUUUGGGAGGAUAUGGAUGGGGACUGUAGCAAGAAAUUCCGAACGGAGAGGAUAUUUGUAGGAGGAGACUUAAAUGGUCAUGCAGGAAAAGAAGGUAGAGGAUAUGAGAGGAGGUUAUGGUUAGGAUAUUUGUAGGAGGAGACUUAAAUGGUCAUGUAGGAAAAGAAAGUAGAGGAUAUGGGAGGUUAUGGUUUUGGGAGAAGAAAUGAGAUGCAUAAGCUAUCAUUGAUUUCGCUAUGGCAUACACUCUGGCUCUAGCAAACAUGUUCUUUAAAAAGAGAAAUGAACAUUUAUUAACUUUCAAAAGUGGAUCAUAUACAAGAAAAAUGGAUUUCUUUCUACUUAAGAUGACAAAACAUUCGACAUGUAAGGACUGCAAGAUGAUACUUGGAGAGAGUUUGACCACACAACAUAGGUUAAUGGUUAGGGGUGUUUACAUUAAGAUAUGGAAGAAAAUGAAUUAAAUUGACAAUUGUCCAAAAACUAGGUGGUCGAAUUUAAGGAGAGAACAAUAUUAUUCAGAAAUAAAUUGAUGGAAGAAGGAAAGUGGAAUAUAGAGGAAGAAUUAAUCGUUGUGUAGAAUGAGAUGGUUGAGUGCAUUAGGAAAGUAGGCACAAGCUGUUUUAGGAGUAUCCAGUGGGCAAAUCUAAUCAUAUAAUGAAACUUGGUGGUGGGAUGAUUAUGUAUAAAAAGUUGUUAAUGAGAAAUGUGCAUGUUUCAUGGCUUGACAAGGGUCUAGAAAUGAUGAAAAUCUUGAACAAUAUAGAAAUGCCAAAAAGAUUGCUAAGAGAGUGGUAAGCUAGGCUACACUUAGGCUUAUGAUGAACUUUAAAAUAGAGUCGGAAGGUGAGAAAGAUGCCUUCAAAAUUGCAAAAAUGAGAGGAAUAUUAGUGACCAGACCAUGUUAGAUGCAUUAAGAGCGAUGACUAGAUGGUACUAGUCAAGGACAAUGAGAUCAAUGAAAGGUGGAGAAGCUGUUUUAGAACCUGUUAAAUGAUAAUUACUCUGAGAACAAAGAGAUAGAAGGAAUUGAAAACUCAACUUGCAUUAGAGUCCAUAGAUACUUUAGUAGGAUGAGAUAGAAGGAAUUGAAAACUCAACUUGCAUUAGAGUCCAUAGAUACUUUAGUAGGAUUAUGAUAUUUGAAAUGAAAGAAGUGUUGAGAAAGAUGAAAAUAGGAAAGGCCCUUGGAUAAAAUGGUAUAGUAAUAGAGGCCUCAAAGUGCAUGGUGUUACUUUGGUUAACAAGGUUGUUCAACAAGAUUGGAAGAUCGGAAAAAUGCCAGACAAAUGUGGUACAUAUUCAUAAGAAUAAAGGAGACACAAGGUUACACUAACAAUCAUUGGAUUGAACUUAUGAGCCAUACUUAGGAACUUUUGGAAAGAAGAUUGAGAAAAAGACUAAGGUGCGGGAGAAAUGUAUCAAAAAGUCAGUUUGGUUUCAUGCUAGGGAGGUCUACCACAAGCUAUUUUCCUAAUUAGACAAAUGAUGGAUGAAUAUUGGGAGUGGAGAAAGGAUAUCCACAUGGUCUUUAUUUAGGGAAAGCUUACGAUAAGGUCCCUAGAGAAUUAAUAUGGUGGGUGUUGGGAGAGAAAGGAGUUUGAAUAUGAUAUAUUGACACGAUUAAGAAAAUGAAUGAGGGAGCAGUAACAAAUGUGAGGACCACUAGUGGAGAGACGAGUGAGUUUCCCUAUUAUUGUAGGCUUGCACUAGGGAUCAACAUUGAGGCCAUACCUUUUUGCACUAGUUAUAAUGAGGUAUUUACAGGAAGAGAUCCCAUGGUGUAUGUUGUUUGUAAAUGAGAUAGUUUUGAAUGCCAAGAUGAGGGAGGGCUUAAACACAAAGUUAGGUUGAUAGAGAGAUUCUUUAGAAUAUGAAGGAUUUAAAAAUAGUUGGACUAAAACAAUGUAUAUGGAGUGCAGUUUUAGUAACAAUAGGAGUGGGAAUGAGGAAUUAGUAAAGAUUGCUGACCAAGAAUUUUCCCAAAGUGAUCACUUCUAAUAUCUUGUGUCAAUAAUUCAUGAGAGUGAAGAGAUUAAGAAGGAAUUCAAGUGGGUGGAAGACAUGGAGAUGUGCCUCUAGAGUUUAAUGUGAUCGUCGUACCACUCAAACUGAAGGGAAUUUUAUAGGAUGGCUAUAUGACCUGUAAUGCUUUAUAGAACAGAAUGUUGGGAAGUUAAGGAAAAACAUAUCCAUAGAAUGAGUCUAGCUGAAAUGAGGAUUUUGAGAUGGAUGAGUGGCAAUUAAGAAGGAUAAAAUUAGAAAUGAAUGUAUUCGAACUUGAUAUUAGCAUCAAUAGGUGGCAAGAUAAGCGAAAGUGUACUUAAGAUGGUUUGAUCAUGUGCAAUGAGGACAAAGAACUGUGACGGUUGAAAGGAGUGAGUUGGUAUAAGUUGAAGGCUCUAAAAGGGCAAGGGGAAGGCCCACUAGGAUGUGGGUGGAAGUAGAAAAGGCUUGAUGACCAUGGUCUAAUUGAAGUUAUGGCCCUUGAUAGAGUGGAAUGGCUGAAAAGGAUUCAUGUACCGACCCCAAUUAGUUGGGAUGAGGCUUAGAUGAUGGUGAUUAAAUUAAUUAUUGGAUAUUGAGUCUUUGAGUCAAUUUGACCUGGCCAAACAUCGAAUCGAGUCGAGUUUUUGAUGUUUUGACCUGUGGUAUCAAUUCAUUGUUUAUAUCUAAUGCAGGGGCAUUUUCACACCGGGCUCGAGUGGAGUAGCCCGUGGGAUGCGGGGACACACUUGGGGUGGGCAGCUCAUGUGAUUUGGGGCCCACGAAGGGCGUUCGGCCGAAGUCCCAACCCAUGCAAUGUGGGGCAUGGGCUAUGAGAUAAAGAUAUUAAUUCGCCAUACUCUAACAGUUCGAGCUUUUAGAGCAAGUGGUUAAUUGUCAUGCAUCAAAUUGGUAUCAGAGCGGGAGGUCUCGUGUUCGAGACUCCUCACCGGGGGUGAUUAAUGCAGGGGCAUUUUCACACCGGGCUCGAGUGGAGUAGCCCGUGGGAUGUGGGGACACACUCGGGGUGGGUGAUCCAUGUGAUUUGGGGCUUACGGGGGAGAUUUGAGCUAUGAGAUAAAGGGAUUAAUUCGCCAUACUCUAACAGUUCGAGCUUUUAGAGCAAGUGGUUAAUUGUCCUGCAUCAAUAUUCUUUUGCUUUUUCCAUAAUUGCAUUCUGUUACUUCUCAAGAAAGAAAAAAAGAGAGGAAAAAAAUACAACUUCUUCUAGUUUGGGGAGAUCUGAUCUAGUCUGUAGGCAGAGCUAAAUUGGAGAAUGAUUGUUUUUCAUGAUUUAAGAAAUACAUGUUAUAGCUUUGAAUGGAAUGUCUCAGGAUCAUAGGUUUUUGUUGCCUAUUUCGGCCGUAUAUUAACAUAGAACUAUAUUCUUUUGACCUGUCUAUUCAAGUGUUCCUGUGACUAAGAGGGUGGUGUCUGAAAUGUUGCUUGCAUCAAACUCACCAUCUCUAGGAGUAUAAAUCUGGUGAAGAGAUUAACUCCCAGUUUCCAGUUCCAGAGCAACAUCCUUUUCUUAAAAAGAAGGCCUUUCAUUAGAAUAGUUGGCUGAGCUUAUCUUGCAACCCAAGUUCAAGAGCAUGUUGUGAGUUCCUUACAGCUCAAUGACAACGUGCAUUUUCCACAUGGUGUUAUCGUUCGUUCUCAUUGUUGAUGGCACACCUCAACUAUUGGUUUGACAUUGUACAUGUCUUUUUAUUGUUCAACCAAAGUAACAUGUUAUGGUCUAGGAUACCCAAAUACUUAACUGUACCAUAUCAAUUCAUGGAUGCUGUAAGUUGGUUAUUUUCUGAACUCCUAGCAAUUUUCCUGUGCAAUCAAGUUAUCUGAUGAGAAACAUCUAUCUGUACCCUUGUCAUGGGAAACCCGUAUCUGCACCCUUGUCAUAGAUUUUCAGAAACAUCUCCAUAUCCCUGUCUAUGCAUCGCUGCACAUAGUUGUGAAAAGUACAUGAUACAUGUGGUUUCUAGCGAACUCUCUAUACACUACCUCUUAUAGUAGGAUCUGGUGCCCCUUGAUUUAGAGAGAUGUAAGGUGAAGUAUGGGUGGCAAUGGGUUGGGGUUGGCCCUAGCCCAGCUUUAAUCUCUUAAACCUGGGGCCUAGCUGAAAAGGCCUUGGCCUUGGCUGGCCCUAUAGGGAAAAGAGUCGAGUGAUCAAGAGGCCCAAUUGCAGAAUUUAUUUAUUUAUUUUUUUGGGAUGUCCUUCAUCCACAAUAAAUCCAAUGUAUAAACAGUUUGGAUCAUUGAAACAUGACCCCUGGUCCAAUAAUUAUAUGUAAACAACACAUAUAUGAACCAUUGACAAGUGUUUUUUAACCAUUAUAAUGGUGGCCCACUUAAUUAUUAGAUCUGGCCAAUUGGCUAGGCAUUCAUCAUUGACCUUAGCCCAGUCUAGCCCGAGCAUUGACCCCGGCCCUUGGGCUGAGUUAGGGACCCAAGCCUUGUCCCUAUAAAGCCUUGUCGCCUGUGCGGAACUGGCCAGCCCAGCCCAUUAUCAACCCUAGAUUUGCUAUCUUGAU